rnacentral:miRNA from 1 species
AGAUAAGUGAUUUUUGUCAGGCUGAGCGAAGUGGAAGCUCCAUAAAUUAAGGCUUCGACUUCGCUCAGCCUGACACGGACGAUAAUCAU